rnacentral:rRNA from 1 species
CCAAUAGCGUAUAUUAAAGUUGUUGCAGUUAAAAAGCUCGUAGUUGAAUUUUAGGCCUGACCGGACGGUCCGUCUCUGGCGAGUACUGUUCUGUUAUCGGGUCUAUCCUUCUGGUGAGCCGGUAUGUCCUUUAUUGGGUGUGUCGGGGAACCAGGACCAUUACCUUGAAAAAAUUAGAGUGUUUAAAGCGGGCUUUUGCUUGAAUAGAUUAGCAUGGAAUAAUAGAAUAGGACGUUGGUUCUAUUUUGUUGGUCUAGGACCACCGUAAUGAUUAAUAGGGAUAGUUGGGGGCAUUAGUAUUCAAUUGUCAGAGGUGAAAUUCUUGGAUUUAUUGAAGACUAACUACUGCGAAAGCAUUUGCCAAGGAUGUUUUCAUUAAUCAAGAACGAAAGUUAGGGGAUCGAAGACGAUCAGAUACCGUCGUAGUCUUAACCAUAAACUAUGCCGACUAGGAAUCGGGCGACGUUAUUUUCAUGACUCGCUCGGCGCCUUAUG